rnacentral:lncRNA from 1 species
CUCCACUAAGCUGAGCAGCUUUAAUGGAGUCAGGCAAGUCACACUAGAGGUUCUGGGCCGAGUUCAUCGUCCAUCGUCAGGGCCUGUCUCAGAUACACAUACUGGUGGAGUAACCUAGUAUUCAUCUAAUGGCAUGUGAUCAUCUGGACAAGCAUCUUUCAUCUAUUUCAGUUUUCUCCUAUAUAGGGUGUCUGGGGCUGUGUACAUCAUUUUCUCACUUAGAAGAGAAUCCAGUAGCAAAAAAAAAAGGAAAAGAAAAGAAAAGAAAAGAAAAAAAGGAAGGGGGAGGGGAAAGAAGGGAGGAAUGGAGGGAAUAAACCAGCCUGCCCAGGUGAAGAGGAAGACGUGUUCCUUGCCAUCAGUAAUGAAUAAACAUCAUGGUGUCAGUCCCA